rnacentral:rRNA from 1 species
UACGUAGGGGGCGAGCGUUGUCCGGAUUCAUUGGGCGUAAAGCGCGGGCAGGCGGCCCGCUCAGUCGGCCGUGAAAGCGCCGGGCUCAACUCGGCGAGGUCGGGCGAUACUGGCGGGCUCGAGGCUGGUAGAGGGCGGUGGAAUUCCGGGUGUAGUGGUGGAAUGCGUAGAGCUCCGGAGGAGCACCAGUGGCGAAGGCGGCCGCCUGG